AUGUAUGGCAAUCUAUCUUUAAGUAGGGAUACAUUACUCUAAAAGAAAUGAAUCCUAGAUAGUUUUUCCUUCAAGUCAAACAUCUUGU
rnacentral:pre_miRNA from 1 species